rnacentral:rRNA from 1 species
UACGAAGGGGGCUAGCGUUGCUCGGAAUGACUGGGCGUAAAGGGCGCGUAGGCGGAUGGCACAGUCAGAUGUGAAAUUCCCGGGCUUAACCUGGGGGCUGCAUUUGAUACGUGUUGUCUUGAGUUCGGAAGAGGGUCGUGGAAUUCCCAGUGUAGAGGUGAAAUUCGUAGAUAUUGGGAAGAACACCGGUGGCGAAGGCGGCGACCUGGUCCGUCUGACGCUGAGGCGCGAAAGCGUGGGGAGCAAACAGG